CAUCCCCAUUCCACUCCUAGCAGC
rnacentral:ncRNA from 2 species